AUUCAUCCUGAUGUGACUCUCAAGUCCCAGUGUGGCUCGUUGUAUUAUCAUAUUAGCAUUCUUCAGCGCUCCGUGUUUUUUAUCGCUAAUGAAGGCUUAAACGCUCUUUGGCGUCUGUGUUCUCAGCGGUCCGCAGGGAGCGCCUGUGUCCCGUCCUGCAUUGAUGCCAUCACGCUCUCAUCUGCAUGCUUGACAGCGCAGACCUUCUUUCAUCCGCCCGCAAUCUCCCUUCCUUUAUCAUCUUCGUCUCUCUCAAUCCGCUUCCGUUCGCCUGCAGACCCCCCCCCCACCCCCCAGCCUCCCUUCGUGUCACCUUCCAUUGCUUCCCAUGCAUGUUUGUCUCUCUUCAUUCUCUUUUUCCAGUCCUUUUUUGCGCAGUCUUUCCUGCUCCCUGUCUUUGGGUCAAUACGACAUGUGUUGAGGAUUCAGUGGUUGUACUGUCUAGAUAAACACCCUGUUAGAAGGAUUAUCCCUGUUGUCCUAACAAUGUAAACCCAGGAUUAGGCCCCACUCUCCAGGGAUGCAAGUGUGUGCGUGUGGGUGGGUGAGUGUGUCUGUGUGUUGCUGCAGAAAGAGUCUCUUCAAGAGAAAGACUAAAGUAGCAUUAUUUCAGCACGCAUGGAUGUACAGCGGAGAAGAAAAUAUACAUUGGCAUUCCAAUUUAGCAUCAUGGCCAUAUAAUAAAGUUCAAAGGCUAAUCAUGUGAUUCACUAAAGCACAUCCAUUCAGCAGCUUUGUGGAGAAUCCCAGCUGAGCCGAGGCCAUGAAUCAGUUUUUGUUGAUGAUGCUGGACUUUGGCCGAUUCGGGUCUGAGCUGCAAAGGAAUGAAGGUGUGGAAGAGAGCGAGGAAGGAGUGAGGCGAAGCUCUUGGAAGAUGGCUAUGGUGGCGAUUGAAAAGGCCAAAGGUGAGCCCCUCUCGCGAUGUCUCCAGUACCGCAGGGGCAGUCACGACCGGGUCAGCGGAGGUUCAGGUGUCAGCGAACGACAGCUGACUGACGAGACCAAGUGGGACUUCUCCCCGAAAACGCUGUCCCGCUUGGACCUUUCAUCCUUCCUUGCCUCCUUCUCGCUCCUCUGUGACCCGGCCCGCCCUCCCUUCAGACUUCUCUUUACUCUCGGUCGAACCACACAACUUCAACCUUGUCAUCCGCUCAUCCUUGCCUCCUUCCUCCCCCGACUCACCUUCUUCUUCACCCUGAAAACUAAACAUUACCACAGGCUUUCACUCAGCGGGUCAGCCUGACUGGGGCAGCUCUCUGUGGGGUUGCACACGCAGGCAAACACACACACAUUUGUAAAUGUUUCAUGACAUCUUUUCAGGGGACACCACUGAAGAAAUUAUACUUUGCUACAAAUUACAUUAAUUGUAAUAGGGUUGUAUUCCCCCUAAAAAAAUACAUGAACGUACAGCCAUUAUCUCUAAACUGAUGGCAACAAAAGUGAGUACACGCCUAAGUGAAAAUGUACAAACUGGGCCCAAUUACCAUUUGUCUGGUGUCUUGGAGCCAUUAGAAAGUGUUCUUGGAUCUGAAUGGAAAGCAGGUGUUUUUAGUGUCAACGGUCUCACACACUCCCAUGCUGGUUAUAGGAAGCUUAGCAUGUAAUGGUAACAAAAAUAUUUCUGCGAUCCAUAGAAAUGACCAAUGCCAAGUCUGUCUAACUGGCGGCUCUCGGAGCGGUACUCGAUGAAUUUCGUCAAACAGACGUUCACUGGUGCUGUUUUUGUAACAUGUAAUACCAGCGUUAACCAGAGGACGGCAUCCAUCGCUCACCAGCGCCUCCAACGCCCGACGCUUACACGGCGAAGAAGAGCGUGUCGUACACGGUGAAGAGGAUCAUGUCGUGGUCGCUAGGACAUGAAUCUCAAAAAGUUCAUUAACAGCACUUUCACCACAGUGUUGAACGUUCGUGUGCAAGGGUUUAAAGUUUGUGUCCUCAAACACACGGAUACAUUUAAUACUUAAUCGCUUUCGGUGGUUUAAUUGGACGCGCGCCCGUGUUUACAGCCUCUCUUUAGAGAGGCGACGCAUCCGGGGCAGUCUUGACUGCCUUCAAUUGACACUUAACACAGCAACCGCAUCCGAUGCAUCUCAUCACUCUCAAACUCCCUCGUCAUGGCUGCGAUGCUGCCCGAGGACCUGAAGACAAGCAUACCAAUGCGCCUGCAGAAGUGGAGUGGAAGCAGUUGUUUUCCUUGGCAGACCAAACCGCUGGGGUCAAAGGCAUGUGACUCAACCAGGAAGUAUCAGGCCGCAUAGACAGGAAGGAACGCCCAGAUUGGUCAGACUGGACAGAUGAGCUCCAGCUGACUCCCGGCCAACUCAGCGGAGCAAGCUAAGAAGUGCAGGUGUCACGUUGUCGUGGUUGUGACUAACCCAAUUGCACUUGGAUCGCAGGGGACACGCCCUCAACGCCGUAAACAGCAUUUAUUUGGACUGUAAUGAAGACUCGAUGGGCUCCGGGCUGUACCCGGCGGCGACGAGGUGACACUGAUGAAUGGCUGAAGGUGCGCUCACUGCAGUCGGGCAGGAGAGAGACAACUGUCAGCCUGCUGUGUGUAUGCAUGUGUUCGCAUCCCAUAAGGUGAUUACAGGGAAAGCGUUUUGAUAGCGCGCUCAUCACCGCCCUUCAGAAGACAAGGACACGCCGAACGAGCCAACUCGAUGCCUCAAGCCCCGAAGCUCGCGAGUCACCUUGUCGAUACCGAAUCCAUACGUGGCUCGUCCCACACCGGACACAGUGUGGCGCAGCACUUUUUGAAGAGCCCGCUAACCCACCCACGCUGGCAUUCUCGACGCUUUCCUGCAGCAAAUCGAAUCCGCGGACCAAUUGAACCUCGGAUGAAUGAAAAUGAUACACGGCAAUGUGAUUAAGGAUUGCACAUCAUGACAUCAGACGUGCAUUCGGAUUGACUGUCAGUCAGCGUUUAAAUUCAACGAUGAAUUUUCUAAUGGUCCUCGUUUGCUUUGAGGUAGAACCGCACCGCAUCAGAGUAAACGGUGAGACGCCUCAAACGGUUGUCGCCUCUACGGCGGGCAAACGAAGUGAGAGGACAGAUAACCCGGUGGUCCUUUUCCGUUACCCUUCCAUCUUCAUCACUCCCUCUCACACACUUUGUUACACUCCUUCACUGUACCUCUUGGGCCCCAUUCCCCCUGUCUUUCGUAGCUGUCUGUCAAUUUUUAGCUACUCCACAAAUCUUUAUCGCAUUCUCUUAAACAGUUCUCUUGGCCCCCCCCCCCCCUGGUUUUUCUUUGUAUGAACGCGUCUGUGCAGUUUCACAAGGCGGAUAUCCCUUGUGAGUGUGCGUUCAUGUCUUUAUAUGGGUGACAAAAGCUCUGCCUACAUUUUUUUGCACCACGGCAGGUUAAUUCGAGCUCAAAGCCCCCAGGACCCUUCCCCCAUCUUAACAAAAUUGUGGGUAAUUAAAGAGCCUCUGGAACCAGGCGUGUAUGUGAGUUGCGUCUAAUUAAGCCCCAGUGAGCUGAGUUAGCCAAUUAGCACAAGGCUCAACAUUGGGCACCAAAGCGUUCCAGCCUCUGCGGAACACGGGAAGUUAUCGUGGCAACGCUCUCAUUUCCUCAAGCAUGAAUCACCCAUCUUAUGAUUGUUACACAAACAGGAGAGGCGGGUGACAGGGUGACACCGACGCCCUCAGUACACGUUUAUGUUGACAUUAUGGAGGAACCUACAACUCCAGUUGAGUCAGAAGCGGGAUUUGAACCCACAACCUCCAUUCGGAGACAAUCGCAAAGCAUCUCAGACUAACUUUUAUCACAGCUUUCUCUCAUAUCACCGGUAGCUCCACCUCUGACUGAAUCUGAUUCCCAUUCAUUUCCGCAGGGCUUUGCCCACUAAAUAAGAUCCUCUUAUCUGUCCUGGAAGAGUGAGACGGCUUGCAUUAGAGACGCUGAGCGAGCGUGAGAGAGAGAUUUGAAUCUAUCCGUUUGUCUCUGCAGGAGGAUGUGUGUGAUGCGGCGUCACGGCCUGAUGCCUUUGGAAGAUAUUGGAGAGAGGAAGAGGAGGGCAUGAUGGGAAGACCAAAAAAAAAAAAUACUAUCCAGAGCUGAGGUCUGUUCCCAUCUCUGACAGCUGUGUCAGCGCAGGAGACGGCAUCGAGGACGCACGACGUGCGCGUACAAUUAUAGGAACACACACGGAGCUGUGGAAGUCUCCAUUUUGCAUCCGGGACAUCAGAGGAUGGUGACAGGCUUUCUCUUCUCUUCUCGGUCUCGCGCCGUGAUUGGAUGGGACACCGAGAGCCACCACUUAGGCAGGGAAACUGACGGCUCUUGACUUUCCGAGAUGGCUUGCGCCGAGUGUGAGAAAAUGGAUUUUGCCUUUUUCCAUCUGCUGCCCACCGUGUGGAACCUUUCCUGGACACCCUGUCAGCACCUUGAGCCUUUCCAGGGAAAACAAGCAACACUUUUGGGGAUCUUCACCCUCAAGCACUCGCACGGUCUUCCUCCAUGAGCAUCGGCAUUUGUCAUAACUGCCGGCGCAACUGAGACUUGACAUUCGGAACCGCAUGGAAAAUCUCACAUCAUAAAUUGGCUGGUAUCAUAUUGUGGCUCCGGGCUCAUAUCAACAAUCUGCAAAACCCAAUCCAUCUCAACAUCUAUAUCGGCGACAUGCCAACAUGUCUAAGUCGUCUUCCAUUUGCCAUCUUUAGUUUCAAGAUUUCAUAUUUAUUUUUUAUUUCAUGCGUGAAUUAAUCUUUUAAGUGCCUGAUUAGGUUGAUUCGCCCGACUUUUGUGGGGUCAGCCUGGAUAGUGUCCAACUCCGUGACAAUGUGAAUGGCAGUCUGUCUCCUUGUCAUGUGACUGGCUGGCAACCAGUCCCGGGAGUAGAUGACGUUUCACUUGACCGCAAUAUUUCAAGGGUCGCAAGUGGCUGCUGUUUGAUGAAAUGUUGAACACACUUAACAUGGACCAGAGGAAGCGAACGAAAAAAAUUUGGACCCAAAUGUGAAUCGUCUCAGUGCGUUAUUACUUGGACAUGACAAAUUAAUGGACGACUAGUUUUGAAAUCAGUCAACCACAAUUGUUAUUGUUUUUUUUUUCUUGUUUAAGUGAGCGUGGAAGGAAACAAAAUUAUUGUGGCACCUCAACGUUAUUUAUGACACAUGUCGUUUCGGUGCAUAUUUUGACAAGGAUCUGGCCCCCGGGCCUCGAGUUUGACUGUUGUACUCUUGAUAUUGAUUUGACCAAAUUUAGUGUGUGUGUCAUGAUGUCUUUACGCAAGUAAAAGCAAAUGCACUCUGUGAAAUAAGGACGUGGAUGCAUCUCAAGAGAGGUGGGGGGGCGCGCGUGCUUAAAAUUUGUGCUUGUGUGAGCACGUCUUAGAUACGUCGCCGGCGCAGGUCUCCCCAUUGCCUCGUAUCGGAGAUCAUUGUGCAUCCAUCAGCAUGCCGUUAAGCAGAGCCCGCUGAGGAUAUGAAAUGGCUCUCGCUUUGAGGGCGCUGUCGCUGAUCAAUGCGUAUAAACAUUUCGCGUCAUAAUCAGCCAUCAAUCGGCACAAUAGCGUGCCGCGAAUACCUUUCCUGGGCCGGGAUGGCGACAUAUGUCUACACGACGCGCAUGAGUCCUUGGUGUGGCAUCUGUGGCGCUUUGGAUGUGUUUGAUGCAAAAUGGAGACGGGCAGGCACGAGAACACGCGUAGUUUGUUUGUCACGCAGUUAAACAAAAACACCCUUUCAACCAUUCGAGCACCAAAAGCAAUGUGCGUGCUCACUGUGUGUGUUGCCCUGGGUUGUGUCUGGGGACGGCUUUAGAAAGUAAACCAGUUUAUCCAAGGUAUCCCAUCUUGAAUUAGCAGCUAAUGACUCUAUUAGCUUUCAUUUUUGCGCCGAGGAGAUUUGCCUGCAUAAAUUAGGCCGCAAUCAUCGGCAAAGUGUCACGGCCAAAGGACAGUUUAUAAAUACAACAGCCGGGCCCUGUCAGCCAGGCCGGCCGCUGAUAUAGACGUCGCCGCAGACUUUGUCGUUGAGCACAACAGACUUGUGCCAGUCACAGAGUGACAGGGGACUGCGGGGGCCCCCGGGGGGAGCUCCCUCGCCGCCGUCCCUGAAAAGGUCAACUUGACGCGGGCACGAAACAUCGACCUGCCCCCCUGUCGGCCCCGCUGAUAAAAAUCAGAUAAACUUAAGACCACGUAUCGAUCGGCGCAGCGCAGCCUUAGGCAAAUGUUGUCCGAGGACCUCCUCCUCCUCGCCUGCGCAUAUGAUUACGCGCAAGCAAAUUCCAAUCAUGCGGCGUUCAAGACGGGAGGGUGGACGGGCAAUUAAACGGCGAGAUGGCUGAAGACGAAGAACGGUUGUGGAAUGAGCGGGUUUAUCGCAGUUUAUGGCAUGUGAUUCACUUUCAUUUUUUUGUGGAUGAAGGUCAAGCAAUUUCUGUGGUGAAGACAAAGCAGUCGCCGAGUGGCGCAAGUGUGCAAAGCGCCGUUGAACAAGCAGCAGAAGAAGGUUGGCUUGGAUGGCCAACGUGAAGUCAGGCCAGCCAAUGAAUUGGACUCUCGACAUGCUGGGAGGAGGAGUGUUAAAGCUCGAGGCAAGGAGGUGCUGAUAAAGUGACAGGAAUGUGACACGAGAUUGGACCGAUGACCGCUGAUAACAUGAGUGAUGGAUGAAUGACAGUGGGCAUGGCAGCUCAUCUUCUCCUAGGCGACAGGGUGACAAAGCGAGAUGUUACAGCGGAGAGACAGCACAACCACUACCCCGGAAGAAAGGAAUAUUUCACACACACACCCUUUUAGCCUCACCUCUGUCCACCUCUUCUGUCUACCUGUCUCCACGCCCCCCCCCACCCUCCCAAAUCACCAUCCCCCUCCAUGUUCCCCGAAAGUGAGCCGUCUCCUUGUCUUCCCCACAGCAUGAGCUGCCCCCCCCCUUCACA